UCGAACGGUCUCUUCGGAGAUAGUGGCGGACGGGUGAGUAACGCGUGAGAAUCUACCUUUAGGUUCGGGACAACAGUUGGAAACGGCUGCUAAUACCGAAUGUGUCGCAAGAUGAAAGAUUAAUUGCCUGAAGAUGAGCUCGCGUCUGAUUAGCUAGUUGGUGGGGUAAGAGCCUACCAAGGCGACGAUCAGUAGCUGGUCUGAGAGGAUGAUCAGCCACACUGGGACUGAGACACGGCCCAGACUCCUACGGGAGGCAGCAGUGGGGAAUUUUCCGCAAUGGGCGAAAGCCUGACGGAGCAACGCCGCGUGAGGGAGGAAGGCUCUUGGGUUGUAAACCUCUUUUCUCAAGGAAGAUAAUGACGGUACUUGAGGAAUCAGCAUCGGCUAACUCCGUGCCAGCAGCCGCGGUAAUACGGAGGAUGCAAGCGUUAUCCGGAAUAAUUGGGCGUAAAGCGUUCGUAGGUGGUGAUGUAAGUCUGCUGUUAAAGCGUGUAGCUUAACUACAUAUAGGCGGUGGAAACUACAUGACUAGAGUGCGUUCGGGGCAGAGGGAAUUCCUGGUGUAGCGGUGAAAUGCGUAGAUAUCAGGAAGAACACCGGUGGCGAAGGCGCUCUGCUAGGCCGUAACUGACACUGAGGGACGAAAGCUAGGGGAGCGAAUGGGAUUAGAUACCCCAGUAGUCCUAGCUGUAA
rnacentral:rRNA from 1 species